GAUGAACGCUGGCGGCGUGCCUAAUACAUGCAAGUCGAGCGAACGGACGAGAAGCUUGCUUCUCUGAUGUUAGCGGCGGACGGGUGAGUAACACGUGGAUAACCUACCUAUAAGACUGGGAUAACUUCGGGAAACCGGAGCUAAUACCGGAUAAUAUUUUGAACCGCAUGGUUCAAAAGUGAAAGACGGUCUUGCUGUCACUUAUAGAUGGAUCCGCGCUGCAUUAGCUAGUUGGUAAGGUAACGGCUUACCAAGGCAACGAUGCAUAGCCGACCUGAGAGGGUGAUCGGCCACACUGGAACUGAGACACGGCCCAGACUCCUACGGGAGGCAGCAGUAGGGAAUCUUCCGCAAUGGGCGAAAGCCUGACGGAGCAACGCCGCGUGAGUGAUGAAGGUCUUCGGAUCGUAAAACUCUGUUAUUAGGGAAGAACAUAUGUGUAAGUAACUGUGCACAUCUGGACGGUACCUAAUCAGAAAGCCACGGCUAACUACGU
rnacentral:rRNA from 1 species